GUGGGGAAUAUUGGGCAAUGGGCGCAAGCCUGACCCAGCAACGCCGCGUGAAGGAAGAAGGCUUUCGGGUUGUAAACUUCUUUUACCAGGGACGAAACAAAUGACGGUACCUGGUGAAUAAGCCACGGCUAACUACGUGCCAGCAGCCGCGGUAAUACGUAGGUGGCGAGCGUUAUCCGGAUUUAUUGGGUGUAAAGGGCGUGUAGGCGGGACAGCAAGUCAGAUGUGAAAACCAGAGGCUCAACCUCUGGCCUGCAUUUUAAACUGUUGUUCUUGAGUGUCGGAGAGGUAAUCGGAAUUCCGUGUGUAGCGGUGAAAUGCGUAGAUAUACGGAGGAACACCAGUGGCGAAGGCGGAUUACUGGACGAUAACUGACGCUGAGGCGCGAAAGCGUGGGGAGCAAACAGGAUUAGAUACCCCUGUAGUCC
rnacentral:rRNA from 1 species